ensembl:misc_RNA
AGAUGGUACAGAAUGAAUCUUGGAGGAGGGGUCCCUGCUGGGGCUCCAAGGAACCACGUGUAGACGUGCACAACCUUCAGUCUCCUGACCU